rnacentral:piRNA from 1 species
UGACGUUGGAGCAACACAGGUGGGUA